CUCGCAUUUUCUCCCCUCUAAAAAAAAGAAAAACAACCUCGAUACACGCCAAAACACUGUCUCACACAAAAGAAAACCUAAUAGCCGUCGUAUGUUUUUUAUUUUUUUUUUAAUCUUUUGGAGAACUGUCUUCGGGGAUAAAAAAAAAAAAUUAUAUUAUUCUUCACUCAUCUCUCUCCCUUACUGUGCAAAUCAUCUUCUACCAACUUACAUACAUUCAAAAAAACAAAACAUUGGCUGGCAUCACUCUCUCUCCGGACAUUACACCGAAUCUCCCUUAUCUAAUGUCAGACUCCUCCCCAACGACCCACGACCAGCCUCUCCUUUCCAAAAGCAGAAGGAGCAAAUCUUGAUCCACCUUGUUUUCUAGUUAACCAAUGACGGCGAAUGGAACCACGCGCCUACAGUGACGGUGGCACGUGGAACCCACGCGCCACCCCUGCUCACCCCCUUCCAGCACUGGUCCCAGGUUACAACAGCCUCUCCAGUCGGCUAUUGCCGGUUGUUUUGGCUACAUAGCUCCAGAGUAUGCUCAAACAGUUAGAGUGAAUGAGAAGACUGAUAUUUAUAGCUUUGGAGUUGUCCUUCUAGAACCAACAACGGGAAAAGCAGCAACUUACGGUGAUGAGCAUACAUGCCUUGCCAAAUGGGCAUUGCGUCACAUGCAAGAAGGAAAGCCUAUAGUCGAUGCCUUAGAUGAGGAGAUAAAGGAGCCUUGUUAAUUGGAUGAAAUGAGCAAUGUUUUCAAAUUGGGGGUUUUCUGGAUCAACACAUUGCCUUCUGCUAGACCUAAACAUGGAGGAGGUUUUGCAAGUCUUAUUAGGAAGCAGCCUCCCAUUGGUAUAUGGGGUGAAGAACAAUGGGAGUGAGUAUGAUUCUACUAGUUUGCUCAAGAACUCAAAACGCAAGAGGUCAUCAGAAAGUGACGGCACUUUGGCAUCCGAUGUUUGAUCGCUCUGCUGAAUGCGCUGAAAUCACCACUAGACUUACUGUUCACCUAAAGAAUAAAGUGUCAUUUCUGGAGUUCAAAUUGUAAAACAUGUAUAGCUAGGCGCAUAAUGAACUAGUAUAAGAUAGUGGAUACCCUCUAAA